CACGUAGGGGCCGAGCGUUGUUCGGAAUUACUGGGCGUAAAGGGCGCGCAGGCGGCUGCUCAAGUCAGGCGUGAAAGGCCUGGGCUCAACCCGGGAAUUGCGCUUGAGACUGGGCUGGCUUGAGUGCGGGAGAGGAUGGUGGAAUUCCCAGUGUAGAGGUGAAAUUCGUAGAUAUUGGGAAGAACACCGGUGGCGAAGGCGGCCAUCUGGACCGCAACUGACGCUGAGGCGCGAAAGCGUGGGGAGCAAACAGG
rnacentral:rRNA from 1 species